GUGGGGAAUAUUGGACAAUGGGCGAAAGCCUGAUCCAGCCAUGCCGCGUGUGUGAAGAAGGUCUUCGGAUUGUAAAGCACUUUAAGUUGGGAGGAAGGGCAGUAAGUUAAUACCUUGCUGUUUUGACGUUACCGACAGAAUAAGCACCGGCUAACUUCGUGCCAGCAGCCGCGGUAAUACGAAGGGUGCAAGCGUUAAUCGGAAUUACUGGGCGUAAAGCGCGCGUAGGUGGUUUUGUAAGUUGGAGGUGAAAUCCCCGGGCUCAACCUGGAAACUGCCUCCAAAACUGCAUGACUAGAGUACGGUAGAGGGUAGUGGAAUUUCCUGUGUAGCGGUGAAAUGCGUAGAUAUAGGAAGGAACACCAGUGGCGAAGGCGACUACCUGGACUGAUACUGACACUGAGGUGCGAAAGCGUGGGGAGCAAACAGGAUUAGAAACCCUGGUAGUCC
rnacentral:rRNA from 1 species